GUACUCGCUUCAGUAGCACAUACACCAAAAUUGGGAAGAAACAGAAAAGAUUAGCAAGGCCCCUGCACCAAGGAUGACAAGCAAAUUUGUGAAGCAUUCUGUAUUUUA